rnacentral:ncRNA from 1 species
AAUAAAUCGUUGAAUAAGAGGAGUACAUUUGGUAUAGGCGGUAAAGAGAGUCGGUGAUGGUGAGAUUCCGAUACGUACUGCCAAAUGGAAUGGGCUUAUGAGAGAUUUCCUGAACAAGGAGUAGGGAAAUUCGGCUUCCACCGUUAAUAGGAUAAGGUAUCAGAAUGAGAAAGGUUCAGACGACGUUCGGCGUUGUAUACAGUGCAGGUAAAGCAACGGAAAGUUAAUUCAGCUUUAUGGCGUUGCGCAACCGCAAGAUACUUUCGUCUUUUAUGGUACCUGAUUGAGAUGAGGAAUCUUUCCUCAAUAGAGGUGGCACCGCGACUUUUCGCCCUCUGU